CUAUAUAUCAAGAUUCAAGAAAGGGCUUAACCGCCGAUUCCCAUUCGAGAAGGAGAAGCAGAAGAGGAGGCCCAAUGGUUCGCUCCCCUCGGUUUGUUCGCCGCUAGACCUUCUUGAUCCGAACCAAUCUUCGUACGUUGCUACUGUAGGGUUUCGAUCUCUCUGUUUCCAAGGCGCGAGAACGCGGGAGAUGGAUCUUGGGUCGAAGAAGUCAACCCAAGAGCAUGCUGCUCCGCACUUUGCACUUGCCGUCAUGCUCGGCAGUCGCUGGGGCAUCGACCACGUCGUCAAAAUAGCUGAUGAAAUGACACCAAGAAAAGGUCAGGAGUUAAACCUGCUUUAGUCUACCUUCUUUAUUUUAAUUAGCACUGACUGCAAACGAAGCCCUAAACCCAAAGUAUGAUGAAAUUUCUCAUUUCUUGGCUUACAAGAACAAGAAGAGGAUUCAUCAAAAGGUUUUAUGUGCCGUACAUCGUCUCCUGCUGCUUAUCCUUGGCAAUCUUGAAAUAGAUUAAUAUUCAUCUAAAUAAUGGAAUUCAUGCACUCGUGAAAGCUUUCAGGUA